AUUGAACGCUGGCGGCAUGCCUUACACAUGCAAGUCGAACGGCAGCACGGGGGCAACCCUGGUGGCGAGUGGCGAACGGGUGGGUAAUACAUCGGAACGUGCCCGGUAGUGGGGGAUAGCUCGGCGAAAGCCGGAUUAAUACCGCACACGACCUGCGGGUGAAAGCGGGGGAUCGCAAGACCUCGCGCUAUCGGAGCGGCCGAUGUCAGAUUAGGUUGUUGGUGGGGUAAAGCCUACCAAGCCGACGAUCUGUAGCUGGUCUGAGAGGACGACCAGCCACACUGGGACUGAGACACGGCCCAGACUCCUACGGGAGGCAGCAGUGGGGAAUUUUGGACAA
rnacentral:rRNA from 1 species